UCUCCUCUUUCUCCAUCCUCCCUGAAAAUAUCUCCUCUUUCUCCAUCCUCCCUCCUCAUCCGGCUCCUCUUCUCCAUGCCGCCGUCGUCGCCUCCUCUUCCCCGUCGCUCACAGCCGCCUCGCCCGCUCCGCCUUCACCACCUCCUCUCGUGGCUCCCGUGUCGGAGUUCAGUGCCAGGGGAAGAGGGAUCGACGAUGGCACAACAGAGGAGAUGGAGUAGCGUGCUCCUGCCGCUGUCCGACCCCAUCCUUCCUCCGCUCCUCCCCGCCCCUGCCUCCGCCUUGCCGCAUCCUCUGCGCCGUCGUGCCAUCACACCAUCUCCACUUCUGCCCAGCGCCCCGCUGCAGCCGCCUGCUAGUCGUCCUAUUCUAUAUGGAGCUGCACAUCGGCUUCGGCAUCGUCGCCGGCAGCGACUUCAUUCACCGCCUCCUCUAUAUUCAGUCCCUCUCAGACAAACCCAUCCAUGAGACAUCCAUAGCAAACUGAAACUCAAUUUCAUCGCAUUAGUCAAAGCAUGCCAUCACGUAUUCUUUGCUGUUGUCACUGGAAUCCUUUACAACCCGACAUUAUCACUGGAAUUGUUUACAACCUGACAUUAUCGGGUUUCUUAAUUUUCUCCAUUGGACACUCUCCUAUCUGAAAUAUUAGUCUUGCCUAUUUAAUGGUGGUUCACAUGCAGGUUCAGAGAGUAGCUCACUUGGAUAUGAGCAUAUGUGCAAUCUUGAGUGGUCUCAAGACGAGAUGAAUUAAACAAUGUUGACAUGCUGGUUGUGCUAGGAUGAUUUUGUCAUGUGUCAUGCUUCAAGAAAAGCAGGCUGGUCUUACAUCUAUUUGGAAUAUUUAGAUGGCCAAGGUCAAAGAGUAUCAAGUUGCAGUGUUGCAAGGUAUACCCUGCCUUGGAGAAGGGCAUUCUGUGGGCUGCUUCUACAGAGUAUCAAAUCUGAGAUCAAUCCAGUUUUGAGUUAGGUUACCUAAAGACUCCAUGCACCUCUUCGUCACAUGUCCACUUGCCAACAUGAUAUGGCAACGAAUCGGGUCCUGCCGCAGACCGACGAUAUCACUGAGCUUUGGGAAGCUCCCCUGCCUCAUCACCCCCCCCCCUCCCACACACACACACAAAAAGCAUGGUCCUUGGUCCUCAUGGCACUGCUAUGGAAGAUAUGGGCAGCACACAAUGAUAUGUUGUUUAGGAGUGUUGAUCAAUGUUCUGUAAUAACCCUCCGGGCCCUUAUUUCUUAUUUGGAUCUUUUGUCACACCGUCUCAUGGAGACAAGUGACAAGGAGGACGUCUUCUCGUGGCGUUCCUACCUCUGGGGGAGAUCCCCCCCACCCCCGGGUGAUUCUCAAUAAAAGGUCCAGUUUUGAGUUUUGACACCCAUUAAUGAUGCAUUCAUGUUAUGAGUUACAAAAUACUAAAUCUAAAAUGACAUGGUUUUAGAAAGUUGGGUGGGUUGAAAGAACCAAACUGUUUCAAGUUACACGUCUUCUCUGAAGGAAAUAUGCCCUAGAGUCAAUAAUAAAGUUAUUAUUUAUUUCCUUAUAUCAUGAUAAAUG